GUGGAAGGAGCAGUGAUUACUCCAAAAAUCAUGGCCCACCAAUGGAAGACUAAACAGCAGACUAUCAGAAAGACAAAAUCAAGAUUCUUGGGCAUGAUUUGGUCAUUAUGGGAGGUGAGGAAUCUUGAGUUUGCCUUUGAGUAAGGCAAAGAUUGGAUUUGAACUUGAGCUGUCCUUAAUGCCUGAUGCUUACCACUGGUGUCGGGAGUGAAAAAAGGGUGAAUGAGGGGAACCUUAAAGAAAGCUUUAUCCAAGGAGCCCAGACAAACUUCUUUGGUAAACAGGAAUGGGAACAGAGACCUGGUGCUGCAGUUAUCCAAGCCUUCCAAGGACUCAGUCAUCACCUCUAAACUGGAGAGAAUAUCUCUUAUGGACCUUCAGAAAGAGCAAGAAAACUUAGAACAAUGCACACUGGAGGCACAGUUACCGAAGAAGCUGAAGCUCUAUUUCUGAAUUAAUCUUCGGUUUGAGUUUGGAUCUGUACAAGAAGCCAAUACUCUGAACUGCCACAGGACUGCCUUCAGUGCACAACAUGACAGGCACUAUACCUUCUCUGUGCUGAUAUAUUUAUUGCUUCUGUCUUCUUAUACAGAGCAAGUACUGCGAGCAACAUCUGGCAAAUGAUUUAUAACAGCUGGCUGUGUUAAAUGUCAAUUAGUUACAAUGAGUUUCAGCAUUUUCUCAUGGCUGACCUGAGCACCGGCAAUCAGACUAGAACACUACUCACAUGCAAAUGAAGCACAGUUUUCUGUUUGAGGAACACUGGGGCUAAAUGAGCAAUGUCUUGCUUUUCAUCUGAGAUCAGCUUUUUGUCAUUGCCUGACUUGCUUACUUUCAUCUCCCUUUUCUUGCAGUUACCUGUAUUAUUUGUUUUUAUAUUUAGCAGUGGUAUGCCUUAUCUCUGGUAAAGCCUCCCUGUCAAAUCAUUGUGGAACAGCACUUCCUCACUCACUCUGCUCAUCCUCUUGGGACUGGUCAAGUGUGCUGAUGUUAUUUGGUCCAGACAAAAUUAAGAAUAGAAAAAAUGCAGCUGGGUGUACUGGGAAGCAUGCUCAUAAGAGGCACCAGUGUAUUAUGUUAUUUUCACACUGGUGGGGAAAAAGCAGUGCUCAGUGCGGUUCAAAAAAUGCUCCUUUUCUUUGGCAGGCUGAACACCUUUGACCUUCUGUGUUGUUAUCUGUGAAAACAGAAGUGGCAUGGAAUCUCCUCUAAGAGAAGUCAUAACUUGGGAAUUACAGGGUACAUUUUCAAGGGCCAUCAGAUGUUGCAAUUUUAAAGGACCUUUUUGACUUCUGAUUAAAACAACUUCCAGCAUUUGUUCUCCUCCACCUCCUCAUAAAGCUGUCACUGUUUUCAAUCCUUCUGUUCUCUUCUCAUCCUAUUUAAAAUGAAAUGAAACUGAUGGCCUCUGGUCCAGUGGUUUUGAGAAACUUUGAGGUGCCAGCCUGGCUAAUGUAGCUUAUCCUCAACAAAUGCACUAAUAAUCCACCAA